CCUACGGGAGGCAGCAGUGGGGAAUAUUGCACAAUGGGGGAAACCCUGAUGCAGCGACGCCGCGUGAGUGAAGAAGUAUUUCGGUAUGUAAAGCUCUAUCAGCAGGGAAGAAAUAAAGUCCUUUGGACUUUGGACGGUACCUGACUAAGAAGACCCGGCUAACUACGUGCCAGCAGCCGCGGUAAUACGUAGGGGCAAGCGUUAUCCUGAUUUACUGGGUGGAAAGGGGGGGUAGACGGCAGCGCAAGGCUGGAGUGAAAUACCAUGGCUUAACCAUGGAAGUGCCAUGGAUACUGUGCAGCUAGAGUGCAGGAGAGGUAGGCGGAAUUCGUAGUGUAGCGGUGAAAUGCGUAGAUAUUAGGAGGAACACCAGUGGCGAAGGCGGCUUACUGGACUGUAACUGACGUUGAGGCUCGAAAGCGUGGGGAGCAAACAGGAUUAGAUACCCGGGUAGUC
rnacentral:rRNA from 1 species